AGCUCGGAGAUUCCAUGCUAUUAAUAAAUUAAAAAAUAAAAAAAAAUUGAUACAAUUGGAAACACAACAAACGCGACCUUUGGUCCGCAUAAACAAGUUUGUCGAGGCCGAAACAGGAAUUAAAAUUAGACAGACGCAUCAUAAUCUUCAAACGACUCGUAUCGCGUGUGUCAAAGAUGAAACAUCUAGUUAUCAUUGCUACACUUUGCUUAAUAUUUAUAAAUAUCGCUAACAGUUUCAAAUUCAAAGAAGACGAAAAUUACGAUUACGAUGAAGACGAGGAGACGUCGUUGGAUGAGAAAGGGCCGAUUUACGAAUUGAAAGAUGCCCCGAUGUUGUUCGAAAAAUUUAUGAAAGAUUAUAACAAAGAAUACAAAGAUAAGAAGGAACGCGAUAAGCAUUACCAAAACUUUCUUUCCAACUUGAAAUAUAUAAAUGAAGUUAAUGCUGAAAGUGGAUCUUUUACGUCUGAUAUAAACAUGUUUUCGGAUUUGGGUGAUGACGAACUGGGCGCCUUAGGAUAGAUGCUCUAUGUAUAAAUCAGAUAUGAAGAUAUUUUCCUGAAUGGUUGAAAACCGUGAAUCUUUAUUGGAGCUACGAUUCAAAUAUUUGCAUUUUUAUUUCAUCUUCAUUAAAUAUUAUUUUUAAUCA